rnacentral:misc_RNA from 1 species
GAUGAAGAACGUAGCGAAAUGCGAUAAGUAAUGUGAAUUGCAGAAUUCAGUGAAUCAUCGAAUCUUUGAACGCACAUUGCGCCCGCCAGUAUUCUGGCGGGCAUGCCUGUUCGAGCGUCAUUACAACCCUCAGGCCCCCGGGCCUGGCGUUGGGGAUCGGCGGAGCCCCCCGUGGGCACACGCCGUCCCCCAAAUACAGUGGCGGUCCCGCCGCAGCUUCCAUCGCGUAGUAGCUAACACCUCGCGACUGGAGAGCGGCGCGGCCACGCCGUAAAACACCCAACUCUUCUGAAGUUGUCCUCGAAUCAGGUAGGAAUACCCGCUGAACUUAAGCAUAUCAAUAAGCGGAGGA